rnacentral:misc_RNA from 1 species
GUCCCUAUAGGACUCCUGGGGGUCUGGGUAGUAGAUUUGGUGGUGGUGGUGGAUAUGGCUAUGGUAGUGAUGGCGGAGACUUCGGUGCUGGCUAUGGCAGUUUUGGUGGGAGUAGCUUAGGAGGUUACCGAGGUGAAUCUUCCCUUGGUUAUUCUGGUCGCUUUGGACCUUAUGGUGGUGGGUUUGGUGGGGCUUAUGGUGGUAGUGGUUUAGGGGGUUAUGGUCGGGGAGGUGAGGGAUAUGGAAGUUAUGGAGGUACAGGGUAUGGUGGGGGUUAUGAAUCUGGUCCAGGCGCUAGUUAUGGAGGGGCUGGUGGUUUGUAUGGAAGGGGAGGCUAUAGUGGCAGG